UGAGCAAUCUGCCCUUCUCUUUGGAAUAAGCGUUGGAAACGACGUCUAAUGCCGAAUACGACCUCCUUUCGCAUGAUCGGAGGUGGAAAGCUCCGGCGGUGAAGGAUGAGCUCGCGGCCUAUCAGCUUGUUGGUGAGGUAAUAGCUCACCUAGGCGAUGACGGGUAGCCGGCCUGAGAGGGUGACCGGCCACACGUGGGACUGAGACACGGCCCAGACUCCGUAGGAGG
rnacentral:rRNA from 1 species